CAGUGAGGUGUGUUGUAGCCUGAUGUGUCUCAAAGGGGAAGGGUUUGAUGAUGGGACAUGAAUCACUGAGGUGUGUUGUAGCCUGAUGCGUCUCAAAGGGGAAGGGUUUGAUGAUGGGACAUGAAUCAGUGAGGUGUGUUGUAGCCUGAUGCGUCUCAAAGGGGAAGGGUUUGAUGAUGGGACAUGAAUCACUGAGGUGUGUUGUAGCCUGAUGCGUCUCAAAGGGGAAGGGUUUGAUGAUGGGACAUGAAUCACUGAGGUGUGUUGUAGCCUGAUGCGUCUCAAAGGGGAAGGGUUUGAUGAUGGGACAUGAAUCACUGAGGUGUGUUGUAGCCUGAUGCGUCUCAAAGGGGAAGGGUUUGAUGAUGGGACAUGAAUCAGUGAGGUGUGUUGUAGCCUGAUGCGUCUCAAAGGGGAAGGGUUUGAUGAUGGGACAUGAAUCACUGAGGUGUGUUGUAGCCUGAUGCGUCUCAAAGGGGAAGGGUUUGAUGAUGGGACAUGAAUCACUGAGGUGU